rnacentral:rRNA from 1 species
AUUGGGAUUCAGAAGUGUCUAAAUGAUCUAUUACUUUUCAUAUUAUAUGAUAUGCUUUUGAUUACAUUACUACUCUAUCAAAAAGAAUACCAAUGGCGAAGGCAUUAUGUUGAGCCGACUCAAACACUGAGAGACAAAACUAGGGGAGAAAAUGAGAUUAGAAACCCCGGCAGGCCUAGCUGUAAACGAUGGAUACUAGGCACUAUGCGUAUAGACCCGUGCAGUGUUGUAGCUAACGCAUUAAGUAUCCCUCC